UACGGAGGGGGCUAGCGUUGUUCGGAAUUACUGGGCGUAAAGCGCGCGUAGGCGGCUUUGUAAGUUAGAGGUGAAAGCCCGAAGCUCAACUUCGGAAUUGCCUUUAAGACUGCAUCGCUAGAAUCAUGGAGAGGUUAGUGGAAUUCCGAGUGUAGAGGUGAAAUUCGUAGAUAUUCGGAAGAACACCAGUGGCGAAGGCGGCUCACUGGACUGGUAUUGACGCUGAGGUGCGAAAGCGUGGGGAGCAAACAGG
rnacentral:rRNA from 1 species